CCACAGCCUCUGCUGGUCCGGACGAGUCCCACGGCGACCUCCCGACCCCUCCCCGCUUGCUGCGUGGUGACGGCUCCCUCAGCCUGAAGGAAGGGGGCUGCGGGACCCUGAGCAGGCCCACGGCUGUCGCUGCUGGAUGCCAUUGGCAGUGGCCCUGUGUGAGGACAGGCCUGGCUCUGUGGCCUGCGAGCCCGGGCCAGGCCCAGGGGAGGCCCAGCCUGCAGGGGUGACCUGAGGACCCACGUUGCCCAAGCCGGGAGCCCGGAGAUCUGGGAACCACUGCCCAUCCCAUGGGCCAUCCGGAGGCCAUGCCGGCUCCUCCUGGCACCAGUUUCCAGUCCCCGGGGCACUCCCGCCCGUCGCCACAUGCCGCCGCCAUGGACUGUGCUCCCUGAGUGGCGGCCGCGCCCUGAGGCCCGUCCCCUGCACCCGCGGGUCGGUCUGCGCCCUCGCGCAUCCGGUUUGAUUCUCAGGUCCCACACGGAGUUGCGGCCGCGCGGUGUCUGUCCUUCUCCAUCUGACGCCAGGUCCCCACAGGCCGUCACAGAUGGAAGCCCAGAGGUGGCGGCUGUGAGGGGCUUCCCGGCUCACGGGCAUGGCCCCCGGAGUGCCCAUCGGUCCCCACCAGCACUGAGGACAGAAGGCCUCCAGGACAAGUCACUUUGGUGCGUGGCCAGGACCAGCCACCAAGAAAGCCGGGGUGGCCGUUCCCACCCGGAGUGGCCCUGCUGCCUGCUCACAGCCAGGGCCCAGGCACAUCCAGCCGGGAGCGGGGAGAGCCUGCGCCCCCAUCCCACCCGGCGCCCUGCUCACCCGCACCUGCCCCGCCAUCUGGUCCUUGGCGGCCCCUCCCAAAUGCCUGAACAUCGUCUGUGUGACAGGGACAAGGGCGGCGACGGCAGGUGCGAGCUCCCCUCUCCGGAGAGAAAGGGCAGGUCCGGUCGGGCAGCCCUGGUCCUGGAGCCCGGAGGUCAUUCCCUGUCCACUGUCCGGUGGCUGACCGCCCCAGGCCGCCCACAGCCCAGCGGCCAGGCGGGAGCCAGGCUGUUCCUGGGACAGCUCUCCACCAGCCUGUGAGCGUUGCGGGAGGGGGGCAGGAGGCUCAGGUCCGGGCGGGUUGGUAGCCGGAGGGAGUCAGGAGAAGAUGGUGUGGGCCCCUGGCAAUGAGCCGACGGCCUCGGGCAGCUGCCGCCCAGGUCGGGCCAGACACAGGAGAAGAGCGUGGCCAGGUGGGGAUUCACCACGUGGCUCCAAGAUUUGGCUCAGAAGGGGCCUUCCAUCCCUGCGACGGCAGCCGCCCUGCCCACUCCUCCUGGGGAAGGGCCAGGCCAGUGAGGGGGGCAAGGGGGCCACAGACACUGCCGUCUCAGGACCAGGGGACACCGAGGGCCACAGGCUUCAGAGCCCUGAGCCGCAAAUGGAGGUGGGUGUGGGGGGCGACAGGGGACAAGGCCAGCGGGCCGCCCAGAGCAGGGUCUGCUCCCAGGAACAGUGCCCGGCUUUCCACCAGCCUCCCCCGCCGGCCCUGGGGCAGCUUGUGCCGCUCGGCCCAGCCUUCCGGAUGCGACAGAGCCAGGGACCUGGCUGAAGUGCUCAGUCGCUUCGGGGACCCCGCUCUCCAGGGACUCAGGCUCCUGGCAACUGACAGGGUGGUGGAAAAACCCGGCCUCCAGUCAAUCCGCACAAACCUAAGAAAUAAGAUAGUUUCCUGCCAAACAAACAGCUUUCUCUCUGCCAGAGCUCCCUCCUCCCUCCGCGGCACAGUAGCCACGGGGGUUCCCCAGCACAAAAGAGACAGUGUGUGCCCGGCAGAGGUGUGGGGGUGCACACACCCGCGUGCGCCUGUGUCAGCAUUUGUGUGCGUGCCCUUGUUUGUGUGACUGCGUGUGCGUGUGCGCCUGUGCCUGUGACCACCAUGGAGACUGUGAGCCAACACCCCCUGUCCACCCAGGAGACGGCAGCUUCCUCUCUCAGGAAGGGGGGUGGUCAGUCAGCCUCCUGGGUGCCUAGGAUUGUCCCACGUGGCCAGAGCCCCCGACUCCCCCCGCUCCGGGCCCCUCCGCAUUUCCAGCCCGCCAGGUGGCCCCGUGGUGGACGCCUGGGGAGGGAGCCCUGACGCACCCUGGUCCUGUGCCAGCCGUCGGUGGUGGGUGGCCAGCCCCCCAACGGCGCCCGUGCACCCUGCGGGCGGCCUGCCCACUAGACUGGCAGCGGGCCUCUUCACCCUCCAGGCUCCGCCCCCCUUCAGCCUCCCCCCAGGUCAGAGGGCCUGCAGAGGUGGGCACCUGGGUGGGGGCCCCUUCCCAAGCCAAGCACAGCCCAGGAGGCUCCACCCAACCCGAGCGCCUGGGUACGUGCCCCACGGCCCCGCCUGGGCGCCCCAGCCCCGUUGGGCCAGCAGGAGGCGGAGAACCCCGCUGGACUCAGGUCUGUCUUUCCAACCCAAACCUGUUCCUGGCUGGAGGCUGUGCCCGGAGUGAGCGGCUGGCCGGUCCCCUGACCCCAGCCGAGGGGCUGGGGGGCCUUAGGCAACGCGCUGUGUGCUUCCAAAUCAGGCCAAGCUCCUCUGUGGUGACAGGAAUUAGAGCCACAGCUGUGGGGCUGGGCCGGGACCCUGCCUGCAGAUGGGCCCCUGGAGCCUGGGGGCGGCCCGGCCGCUCUGAGCAGCAGUGUUUGUGCAGCUGUCUGAAGGUGCCCCGUGGGACCGCGCCCCCCCAGUGCUUCUCAAAUGCGCUUCAGAAGAGCUCGCGAUUUGGAGGUGGAGGCUAAAGGCGGCCUUUGUUUGGGAAGUAGCACCGGGAGGCGUCAGCACAGACUGACACCCGGAAUUGGUGCUCACAGCACUAGUCCCCAGAGAGAACGGUGCCUGUGGACCCGCCACCCAGGAGGGCCGAGGCGUCACGAGGUGAGAUGUGGGGCCAACCCGGCACCCCUGCUGCGGCGUGACCCCUGCCCAGAAUCCAGAGGGCACACGCGUGCCCCGCCGGUCGUGCCCGCUGGCGCGCUGACCUGCGGCCCAGGGCGGACCCACACCUGCCGCCGACUGUGGCAAGAACAGGAGAGCAAAGCAGGCCCGGAGAGAGGGCGGCACGCCCUGGCGGGGCACCGAGGCCUGGCUGUCCACGGCCCCACGGUGGAGCGGCCCAGUGCCCGCAGGCAGAGGGGACCGCACAAGCACAGCGGGGUAUCACUCGGCCAGCAAGAGGAGGACGCCCUGGCACAGGCCACACGCACGGACCUGGAGGACAUGAUGCCGGGGGCCAGAAGCCAGUCACAGGGGGACAGUCCUGUGAGGCCCCGCUCACACGGUCCCUGCAGGAGGCAGACCGGCAGAGACAGGGAAUCCACGAGGGGCCAACAGUCGCCAUGGGACUGCUAACGGCAGUCCUCACAGGAGAGGAGUGUCCUC